GCCCCCCAAGCUCCUGCAAACGACCCCCAGGGACGACGACGAUGAGGAGCAUCGCGGGGGGACACCAAGCCAACGGGGCGUUCGUUUGCUGGGCCGCGUUGCUCGGACGUGAAGAGAUGCUUCUGCUCUUGACGACGGAGAUCUGUGGAUGAAGGGGAAAAGGCUGGAAUUGAGCUGACAGGACUCAUCUGCUGCAAGGGGAAGAUCUUGUUCCUCGGGGCUUGUGGUUCCCAUCAAGAAAACCUGUCCUUCCCUGUUCCACCUCUCCACCUUUCAACCUCAAGUGGGUUUCGAAACCCUCAUAGCUCACGAUCAGCACGCUGUGGAUAUAGAGUCCUCUGCUAUUAACUCAUAUGACCCCGAUCCCACAGAUACCAU